AAGGAUGGAAGGUUGGAAUAUGGGCAAUCAUUUCCUGGAGAUGGUAAUUUUUCUAUUGACAGGCAGAAUUGGAAUAUGAAAUUUAAGGAUGCUACCUCUACUUCUCAAGCAGCGGCUGACUUUGCAGAACAUGCAACCCUAGCUGCCAGGGCUGUUGUAGAACUUUUAAGGCAAUAUUAUGUUGAUGAUGGUGGUUCAUGCCACUUAGGUUUCAAGGAUGAAAGGUUGGAACAUGGGCAAUCAUUUCCUGGAGAUGGUAAUGGUAAUAUUUCUGUUGGUAGGCAGAAUUGGAACAUGCAAUUUAAGGAUGCCACCUCUGAUGCUCAAGAAGCAGCUGAGUUUGCAGAACAUGCAAGCCUAGCUGCCAGAGCUGUUGUAGAACUUUCAAGGCAAUAUUGUGUUGAUGAUAGUGGUUCAUACCACUUAGGUUUCAAGGAUGAAAGGUUUAAACAAGGAUAAUCAUUUCCUGGAGAUGGUAAUUUUUCUGUUGGCAGGCAAAAUUAGAACAUGAAAUUUA
rnacentral:lncRNA from 1 species